rnacentral:rRNA from 1 species
UGUGCCUACGGGGGGCAGCAGUAGGGAAUCUUCCACAAUGGGCGCAAGCCUGAUGGAGCAACCCCGCGUGAGUGAAGAAGGGUUUCGGCUCGUAAAGCUCUGUUGUUGGGGAAGAACGUGCGUGAGAGUAACUGUUCGCGCAGUGACGGUAUCCAACCAGAAAGUCACGGCUAACUACGUGCCAGCAGCCGCGGUAAUACGUAGGUGGCAAGCGUUAUCCGGAUUUAUUGGGCGUAAAG